AUUGAACGCUGGCGGCAGGCCUAACACAUGCAAGUCGAGCGGAUGAAGGGAGCUUGCUCCUGGAUUCAGCGGCGGACGGGUGAGUAAUGCCUAGGAAUCUGCCUGGUAGUGGGGGAUAACGUCCGGAAACGGGCGCUAAUACCGCAUACGUCCUGAGGGAGAAAGUGGGGGAUCUUCGGACCUCACGCUAUCAGAUGAGCCUAGGUCGGAUUAGCUAGUUGGUGGGGUAAAGGCCUACCAAGGCGACGAUCCGUAACUGGUCUGAGAGGAUGAUCAGUCACACUGGAACUGAGACACGGUCCAGACACCUACGGGAGGCCGCAGUGGGGAAUAUUGGACGAUGGGCGAAAGCCUGAUCCAGCCAUGCCGCGUGUGUGAAGAAGGUCUUCGGAUUGUAAAGCACUUUAAGUUGGGAGGAAGGGCAGUAAGUUAAUACCUUGCUGUUUUGACGUUACCAACAGAAUAAGCACCGGCUAACUUCGUG
rnacentral:rRNA from 1 species